rnacentral:lncRNA from 10 species
GAACUAUAAACUGACUACACAGCUCCCUGGCCCGGGAAGGCUAUGAAACAGGCAACAUGGACAAUUUAAAGGUGUACAACAUCCGAGGUUCCAUUUCACCCUCAGGCAGCACGGAGUGGACAAGAGAUGGGGUCUCACUUUGUCACCCAGGCUGGGCUCAAACUCUUGGCUUCAAGCGAUCUUCUCGCCUUGGUCUCCCAAAGUGCUGGGAUUACAGGCUUGAACUACUGUACUCGACUGACUUUUCCUAUUUCUAAUGUCAGCAUGAAGAACACAAGAAGUCAGCUUCAAAGGGACAUCAUGUUCUGGGAGAAAAUCGUUCUAUUUCAUGCCUAAAAUGGUAACAAAGCAAGUGAAAGCUGAUCUGCUGUGUGUCUCCUGGAUAGUGACAGGUUCUGGUACCCAAAUAAGCAGACCUAAUGAAGCUCAGAGAUUCCCAGCUUGGAUGAACUAUUUACUCCUCAUGAGCUCAAUAUUAACUGUGGAGUCAUCUUGCAACUACAGAGCCCUUUGCAGAGUGACCACAGGAAGCCAGGCAUGGAGGAAGAAGGCGACAAUAAGCAGUCACUUGUGUUAUUACUGAAGAGACCACAGGGAUCUGUCCAAUUAUUCAAAUGCACAUCUGGAAAAAAUUCACCUGUCUUGAACUCUUGUUUGUUCAACAGCAAAACAAGCAAAAGCACCACAAAAUGCUCAAUCAGGGCGAUCUUUUCAAUUGUGGAGUCUGAACGUUUUCCCACCUGAGCAUCAUAAAUAAGGCAAAUUGCAUAAUAGGAUAAUAAUAGUUGUUGCUGAAAGAUGCAAUCAUAAAAUAAAAGGACCUUUCGAAAUCUGAGUAUAGAUGGUAAUUAUCCAGGAAUGGAAUACAAAGAGGAGCAAUUUCAAGGUUCCUGCUUCGUCUUGUUAUCGUGAAACUGAGACGGCCAAAUGCCAAAGAGGGCUCUUUCAGUUACAAGAGACCUUCCAAUGUCUUUGACAACAGUGCUAUUCCCUUCUGUUAGAGUGCUGUAGUACACCAUCUUGUAUAUCCGUCUAAUCUCAAAUGCCACAAUUCACAAAGUUGCCACUUGUUCUUUCCUGCUACCAAAACCAGAAUUCUAGCUGGUAAGCUCCACAGCAGAAAAAAA